UGAGGUUAGAUAGAGGUUUUGCAUCUGGAAGCCUCUAUCGAACUUCAGUUAAUUUGAUUAUGAUGCAGCCCAAUUCAAGUUUUUGGAGGAGGAGCUGAGUGAAAAUGGCGGUUCCAUUGUUGAAGAAGGUGAUCGUGAAGAAGAGGGUCAAGCAGUUCAAGAGGCCCCAAAGCGACUGCAAGAUCUGCGUCAGGUUUUGCAGUUUUCUAAGGUUGAAUUGCUCCCAAAAGGCUUGGAGAUCCGGUUUCUUUCACAGAAGAGCAAUUGAUUCCCUUUCUUCAAAACAACUGAAAUCUAGGGAAAUGCUUGAAUAUUUUUACAUAGCUGUUUAUUCUCACUGAAUUCAGAAGAAGAGGCAGAGAAUAGAAAGAAGCACAAUCUGAUACAGUGCUUGACAGUCAAUCUAUUAGUGGCAGAGGGGCUCAAAUGCCUGGGGGUCGAAUGUUCAGUCUUUUCGAGCUUUUGUGGC